CCUACGGGAGGCAGCAGUGGGGAAUUUUGGACAAUGGGCGAAAGCCUGAUCCAGCAAUGCCGCGUGUGUGAAGAAGGCCUUCGGGUUGUAAAGCACUUUUGUCCGGAAAGAAAUCCUUGACUCUAAUACAGUCGGGGGAUGACGGUACCGGAAGAAUAAGCACCGGCUAACUACGUGCCAGCAGCCGCGGUAAUACGUAGGGUGCGAGCGUUAAUCGGAAUUACUGGGCGUAAAGCGUGCGCAGGCGGUUUGCUAAGACCGAUGUGAAAUCCCCGGGCUCAACCUGGGAACUGCAUUGGUGACUGGCAGGCUAGAGUAUGGCAGAGGGGGGUUAGAAUUCCACGUGUAGCAGUGAAAUGCGUAGAGAUGUGGAGGAAUACCGAUGGCGAAGGCAGCCCCCUGGGCCAAUACUGACGCUCAUGCACGAAAGCGUGGGGAGCAAACAGGAUUAGAUACCCUGGUAGUCCACGCCCUAAACGAUGUCACUAGUUGUUGGGGAUUCGAUUUCCUUAGUAACGUAGCUAACGCGUGAAGUUGACCGCCUGGGGAGUACGGUCGCAAGAUUAAAACGUCAAAGGAUUGACGG
rnacentral:rRNA from 1 species